UAUGACCAGAGCAACAUCGAUGGCGCGU
rnacentral:piRNA from 1 species